UGUUGCAAAUUAUAUAUUCUUGUAAAAUAAGUCUCUGCAUUGUAUGUGUGUUCAUUACAUUUCCAUCUUAUUAAGUUAUUGGUUUAAUUACAUUUCUUACCUUUUCUGACUCAACAGUCCUUUAAGAUCUGUCUGCUUUUGUUUGCCUGUUUUGAGACAAGAUCUGUCUUGCUUCCAACUCACUCUGUAGCUUAAGACAACCUUGAUAUUCUGAUUCUCCUGUAGGUAUAUCUGAGUCACUGGGACUACUGUUAUGUGCCACCACAUCUGGUCUUAGAUCUAUCUGUAUAUGUCUUUUCUUUAUUAGUGCACCACACAAUUUACUGUGUAUCUAUCAUGUGGCAUGUGCAUUAGACCCAGAGUGUGCCAACUCUGCACUUCCACAAACAACUGUGGGAAACUACCACAGUCAAGUCCCUUUCUGCACCCUCACUAAAACUUCUCUGGGUCAGAAUUCUAAAGCUACAUGGGCAAUUCCUGUAGUUCAUGUCUGUUCUAGACAAGGCAGACAUUUAACCUCAACUUUGGGUUCCACAAAAUAUCAACUGUGACAACCAAAAAAUAACUUCAAAUACAGUGAAGUGUCCUAUGGGAGUAAAAUUUACAAAACUGAGAGAUACCCUCCUUAAGAGCUCCUUCCUAAAAGCUAGUGUGCAUCUGAAAUUCUAAUAUGUGGGACCAUGUCCCUGACACCCUCGGGGAGGAACUGUUGCUUUUAUUGGCUUUGAUUAAAAAAAAAAAAAAGAUAUCACUUAACUUUCUUACAACUUUGCUUUUAUACAACUGACUUACUGGGUGGAGAGUGAAACCUUAUACCAGGGCCUGGAGAAAUUAUGGGUGAGGGGAAACAGAGACAAGGUACAGUUGGAUAAGGAAACAUCUCUAAUGUUCUGUAUAAAGUAAGAUAACUAGCUGACAGCAGGUUAUUGUGUGCUGUGAAAUAGAUGGUAAAGAGAGCUUGGGGUGUUUCCAACAGAAAGAAGU
rnacentral:lncRNA from 1 species